UGAUGCUAAGGAACUUUCUUGAUUAUCAAUGUUCUGUGCUACUUUGCAGUGUUUUUCAUUAGUAAAUGGUUAAUUUUUUUUGUCUGUAUUUUGUAGAAGAAUAAUGCUCAAAGAAGCUUUCAGGCAUUAUUGGGAAUAAAGCAUGCCAUACUCCUGUUUUGAUUGUGCCACAGCUGGGAGACCUUGCCCGGAGGAUUAUCAGCUUGCCCAAGCUUCAGGCGUGCAUCUUUCUUUUCUGGAGGUUGCCAAUUUGAUAAUUAGUUUUAAUCAUCUCUUUUCCAAGAAAGGUUGCAAGCAAUUUUGGCAUGUAUUUCCAAGAUAGAAGUGUUACCUUUGCUGCCUGAAACUGGAGAAAAGACGAGUUUCAGCAUUAUAAAGGAAAAAGAAACUGACGGGGCCAUUAGGAAACACCAGUUACAGAAAAGGUAAUUAUUUCAUUCUGAGAGCAACUGUACAUGCAAUACCAUGCCGUACUCUAGUAGAAGUUCAUGGCUAAACUUACAUGGAUACAAGAUGAUGAUGGCAAACACACACUAUCUUUACCUCUUUGU